CGCUAAGAAGCUGAACGGAAUAGCGUUAGCCUUUUAAGCUAAAGAUUGGUGGCCCCUACCCACCCCUAGCGA
rnacentral:tRNA from 3 species